UUCACUUCACCACGAGCUUUCAUUACAGCUCCACGUGCCCGUCUCCCCGCUUCGACCAGACGCUCCUCGGGAGGAUUACCCAGAGGGUGGGCAGCGGAUCUCCCGGUGAAGCGGCUCGAUCUCCACCCGGGACGAAAGGCGAAAGGCGUGUAAAGGCCUGUGCGGCUCAUCCACCGUCCAUCCAAGAGCUGCUCCUACAGAGAAGGCCUUUUCACUCCGGGCGUGGCUUUACCAGGCUUGUUCCAACCUAUCCGACAGUUGGCUGCUUAUUCUAUUCAAAACCAUUUGAACGCUACUUCCGCUGCGCGCAUCCUGAGAUAACAGCAUCAGCCGAGUGGAAUUCUGACAAGGACAUUUGUAGGGUAAGCUUAUUACAAGGACACCUGCUUUUGGGCGGUCUGACCUCGCCGAUCUGUGUCCAGCAUCCCUGGCCUGUCAGCCAUCAAAGGGACAUUUAUCCACACUUGUCACCGCUGGCCUGUGAGGGACACGUGUGUUUCUGCUCUCUUCCAUAAAACGACCAUACGGCACGCUUCUUCCUGACUCCAGGUACUCGGGCUGCUCUAUUCGGGUAAAUAAGUGGACUUAUUUGUGUUGAGAAAGACCAGCAAUUGGGGCACUAGAGAUUUAUUUCCAACUUACAGAUGCUGGAUUGUGGCUUUUACAAAAAGAUUCCCAUCGUGAAACAAAGUCUGAAUUAAAUGCACUUUUGUUUUGUGUCUAGACAACAGCAACGUAGGAUCGAGGGGAUUUUCUGAACAGGCUUGGAGUUGGUCUUUGUCUGGACUAGGUAUAAAAAGGCACAACAAUAUUCAGAAACAGCAUGGAGCCCGGGGGUGAAACGUUUUCAACGACAACAUCAGAUCUAUCAGGGAAAAGAGGAGAUCUACUGAAAAUCACACUAUGAAGAAGGGACCCCGCGAAAGCUCUAGCACAUUGCUGUCAUCCUUUUUCUUAUCCGUGGGCCAAAGAUACAGAAUGGUGUUUCUCUAGGAUUUUACAAAUGUCCCAUUUUAUGAUGGUUUACGAUUUACUGCAAGGUUGCUGUGCAUUUUUGGUAGGAUUAAAACUGAGAAGGCUGCUUUUGACUCACGGUCAUUUGAGUGGUCUUCCAAAAGAGUCGGCAAAUUCUGAAAUACAAAUAAUAGAAUAAGUGAAA